rnacentral:lncRNA from 1 species
AGUAGCAUUCCCUUACUUCAUCUUUUGUAUUUGAUGAAUUGAGAUGUAAAAGAAAAAGAAUGUAAUGUUUAUCUCGAGGAGAAUGUGAUGUAAAAAGAAAUGAUGAAAAGUAUGUAAAGAACUAUUAAUGUAAUGUAUGUGAUCAAAAGAGAAUCAUAGUACUUGUGUAGAUGUUUAGUUUUCUUUCUUUCACUCAUGGCUAUUGCUGACCUUCGUGUAAGCCGUUUGUGUAUG